CUGGGAAAAAGGACAAAAAUAUAUACAUUCCUGAAUAGUACGAUUGCAGCCAUUAUCAGAUAUAGUUUCUAGACAAAUCAAAGACAAGUACAAUACUGGUAAAAUGGUGUUUGAAUAAGUUUUAAUUUCUGAAAGUUUGCACGGUCAAAGUGGUCAAUCACCCAAAUACAGGGCGGUGUCAUUUCAAACCUAGAAACAGAGUUCAUAGAAUGGACCCUUCAGAGAACUGUAAUGUAGCUGGUGCACCAUUGAAAUUGAAAUGUGUACUUCUAAUUACUACCAUAUAGAUGCCCGCCGGUCCACCCACCAUCGACUGUCAACUUAAAUGGUCUACCAGAUAUAUAUUUCCAGGAUUUCAAUAGGUGUCCGAUGGAGGCUUGAUUUCUGGCAAGAAAUUUGAUUUUUGACAACCAUGAUUGUAAGCUUUUAAAUGAUAUCAACCUCAACCAUGUAUCUUUUCCAGUGAUGAAGACGACUGUCUCAUGGUAUGGUGGGCUAUGCAGAAUAGAUCAACUUUGAGCACUUUUAUCUCUUAAUAAUUUAAUAAAUGAAGUGAACGUUUCCUGUUUGUUAGUUUGUUGUUUUGAAGCUACACAUCUGUUCCAUGUAAAACACAAAUAAAUACAAGUUUAGGCAGAAUUUAUGCAUCUGGUUUAGCUAACUAGCUGUGAAUGUAGCUGCUGAGGGGUAUACUACAAAGUAGGAUCAAUUAAUUAUCCAAUUAACUAAAGAUGCGUGAGGCAGGGCCGAGCUGACUCACUCACAGUAAGAGAAGCAGACAGAGAAGAUCAAACUGGCUCUCAUGAGGACCGCCACAGGAAUGGAAGACCCAGAGUUACCUCUGCUGCAGAGGUUAAGUUCAUUAGAGUUACAAGCCUCAGAAAUUGCAGCCCAAAUUCAUGCUUCACAGAGCUCAAGUAACAGACACAUCUCAGCGUCAACUGUUCAGAGGAGACUGUGUGAAUCAGGCCUUUGUGGUCGAAUUGCUGCAAAGAAAUCACUACUAAAGGACACCAGUAAUAAGAAGAGACUUGCUUGGGCCAAGAAACAUGAGCAAUUGACAUUAGACGGGUGGAAAUCUGUCCUUUGGUCUGAUGAGUCCAAAUUUAAGAUUUCUGGUUCUUCUGGUAUCUUUGUGAGACGCAGAGUAGGUGAACUGAUGAUCUCUGCACGUGUGGUUCCCACCGUGAAGCAUGGAGGAGGUGUGAUAUUGUGUGGGGCUGCUUUGCUGGUAACACUGUCUUUAUUUAUUUAGAAUUCAAGGCACACUUAACCAGCAUGGCUACCACAGCAUUCUGCAGCGAUACGCCAUCCCAUCUGGUUCGCGCUAGUGAGGUUGUCAUUUGCUUUUCAACAGGACAAUGACCCAACACACCUCCAGGCUGUGUAAGGGCUAUUUGACCAAAAAGGAGAGUGAUUGAGUGCUGCAUCAGAUGACCUGGCCUCCGCAAUCACCCGACCUCGACCCAAUUGAGAUGGUUUGGGAUGUGUUGGACCGCAGAGUGAAGGAAAAGCAGCCAACAAGUGCUCAGCAUAUGUGGGAACUCCUUCAAGACUGUUGGAAAAGCAUUCCAGGUGAAGCUGGUUGAGAGAAUGCCAAGAGUGUGCAAAGCUGUCAUCAAGGCAAAGGGUGACUACUUUGAAGAAUCUAAAAUAUAUUUUGAUUUGUUUAACACUUUUUUGGUUACUACCCUGACUUUGAACCCCGUUCCGCUAGUGGAACCCCUCGCCAACAGCCAAUGAAAUUGCAGGGCGCCAAAUUCAAUCAUCAAUCAAAUUUCUCAAACAUACAAGUGUUAGGCACCAUUUUAAAGAUAUCAUUCUCGUUAAUCCAGCCACAGUGUCUGAUUUCAAAAAGGCUUUACAGCGAAAGCUCCACAAACGAUUAUGUUAGGUCACCACCAAGUCACAGAAAAACAGCAAUUUUUCCAGCCUAAGAGAGUUCUCACAAAAAGCAGAAAUAUAGAUCAAAUUAAUCACUAACCUUUGAUGAUCUUCAUCAGAUGACACUCAUAGGACUUCAUGUUACACAAAACAUGUAUGUUUUAUUCGAUAAAGUGAAUAUUUAUAUCCAAAAAUCUAAUUUUACAUUGGUGUGUUAUGUUCAGUAGUUCCAAAACAUUUUGCAGAGAGCCACAUCAAUUCACAGAAAUACUCAAUAAUAAUAACAAUAAAUGUUGAGGAAAAUACAUUCAUCAGAAUGCACUCCAAGGAACCCCAGUUCCACAAUAAAUGUUUGAUUUGUUUCGAUGAAGUUCAUCAUUUAUGUCCAAACACCUCCUUUUGUUCGAGCAUUUAGUAAAUAAAUCGAAACUCACGAGGAGAGGGCAAGUCCAGCGGAAAUGUCGGAAGAAAAUUCCAAGAAGUUAUAUUACUGGUCGUAGAAACAUAUCAAAUGAUGUAUAGAAUCAAUCUUUAGGAUGUUUUUAUCAUAAAUGUUCAAUAAUGUACCAACCGGAGAAUUCCUUUGUCUGUAGAAAAUCAAUGGAACGAGAGGCAACUUUCUCAUGACUGCACGUCACGAGCCCGUGGCUGCCAGACCUCUGACUCAUUCCCCUCUCAUUCAGCCCCCCUUCACAGUAGAAGCCUGAAACAAUGGUCUAAAGAUGGUUGACAUCUAGUGGAAGCCUAGAUGGAAGUGCAACAUGACCAAUAUCCCACUGUAUCUUCAAUAGGGGCUGAGUUGAAAAACUACAAACCUCAGAUUUCCCACUUCCUGUUUGGAUUUUUUCUCAGGUUUUUGUCUGCCAUACGAGCUCUGUUAUACUCACAGACAUCAUUCAACAGUUUUAGAAACAUCAGAGUGUUUUUUAUCCAAUACUACCAAUAUUACUAAUACGCAUAUAUUAGCAUUUGAGACUGAGUAGGAGGCAGUUUACUCUGGGCACGCUUUUCAUCCAAAAGUGAAAAUGCUGCCCCCAAGCCCAAACAGGCUACUUGAUUCCAUAUGUGUUAUUUCAUAGUUUUGAUGUCUUCACUAUUAUUCUACAAUGUAGAAAAUAGUUUAAAAAAACAAACUUGAAUGAAUAGGUGUGUCCAAACUUUUGACCUGUACUAUAUGUAUACUUCAAUCAAUAGCCUUUUAUCAUAGACAGAUACGUUAUGUAGCUGAAGGUCCUAGCGAACAGAGCAGUACAUUAUGUAGCUGAAGGUCCUAGGGAACAGAGCAGUACAUUAUGAAUGUAUUUACCAAGUGUAAGGACAAGCAGGAUGAAUGUGUUUACCAUGUGUAAGGGCAAGCAGGAUUAAUGUGUUUACCAUGUGUAAGGACAAGCAGGAUGAAUGUAUUUACCAUGUGUAAGGACAAGCAGGAUUAAUAUAUUUACCAUGUGUAAGGACAAGCAGGAUUAAUAUAUUUACCAUGUGUAAGGACAAGCAGGAUGAAUGUGUUUACCAUGUGUAAGGACAAGCAGGAUUAAUAUAUUUACCAUGUGUAAG
ensembl:lncRNA